GUGAGGAAUAUUGGACAAUGGGCGCAAGCCUGAUCCAGCCAUGCCGCGUGCAGGAAGACGCAUCUAUGGUGUGUAAACUGCUUUUGUACGGGAAGAAACACUCCCUCGUGAGGGAGCUUGACGGUACCGUAAGAAUAAGGAUCGGCUAACUCCGUGCCAGCAGCCGCGGUAAUAAGGAGGAUCCAAGCGUUAUCCGGAAUCAUUGGGUUUAAAGGGUACGUAGGCGGUUUAAUAAGUCAGUGGUGAAAGCCCAUCGCUCAACGAUGGAACGGCCAUUGAUACUGUUAGACUUGAAUUACAAGGAAGUAACUAGAAUAUGUAGUGUAGCGGUGAAAUGCUUAGAUAUUACAUGGAAUACCAAUUGCGAAGGCAGGUUACUACUUGUGGAUUGACGCUGAUGGACGAAAGCGUGGGGAGCGAACAGGAUUAGAAACCCUAGUAGUCC
rnacentral:rRNA from 1 species